UAUGGUGCCUGUACCCAAGGAACCGCCAACUGAUCAGAGGGGUUGGACAUUUCAAGAAGUCAUUGCGCUGCACUAUGGGGAGUGUGAAGAGAAUGGAGAUUAUACAAGCAUCUCCACCUCAUGGGGUUAUAUGAAGAUUAAAUGAAAGAAUACACAUAAGUACCCAGCCCAGUCCUUGAAACCUGGUAAGACGGUAUUUAAAUGCUGUGAGCUCACUGUUCAAACG